UCGGAUAUGGUGUAGUGGCUAACAUUAUCGCCUCUCAAUCAGUCCGCGAUAGCCCGGGGUUCAAUUCCCCGUAUCCGAA